rnacentral:rRNA from 1 species
CGCACGGGUGAGUAACACGUAUCCAACCUGCCGUCUACUCUUGGCCAGCCUUCUGAAAGGAAGAUUAAUCCAGGAUGGCAUCAUGAGUUCACAUGUCCGCAUGAUUAAAGGUAUUUUCCGGUAGACGAUGGGGAUGCGUUCCAUUAGAUAGUAGGCGGGGUAACGGCCCACCUAGUCAACGAUGGAUAGGGGUUCUGAGAGGAAGGUCCCCCACAUUGGUACUGAGACACGGACCAA